rnacentral:lncRNA from 1 species
UCUUUCAAUCCUUAUUUGCGCAUUUUAUCUCUUUUUCUUCUCUCUAUGACACAAACCUUCAAGAACACUAAAAUAACAUAAAUAAGUCAUAAAGAAGAUAACUAAAUACAAAUCUCAAGCAUAAAAGGCUUAGAAAUAUAGGAUAAUAUGAGCAUAUCAAAAAUUGGCCGGAAAGUUAUAAUCCACCCACCGUAACUCUACGUCGUGAGUCGAGCUUCAAGACCAUCAUAAGUCGAACCAGGGCGCCCAACACUUCCUAUCCCUACCGGUUUUAAGCCUCGUCGCCACCGCCGGAGGUAGGAAUCCCGACCGGUCCUCCACCCGAAACUUCUAGGCUUCGAUUCGCACGAACCAUCAUGAAUCGGAGCAAGCCACCACCACAAGUAAGGAUGCGCCACCGAGAUGAAGCGUCUCCAACCGGUGCCGUCGGUCGGAGUUGGCUGAAAAAACCGGGUCCGGGUCGGGUCAGCUGGAGAAUUUGGAUUCUCUCGGGGUCAGGAAGAGAGAAGGAGAGGGGAAGAAAUGUGAUUUUGAAAAAAUGAGGACCCAAAACAAAAUUUUCCUAUUUAACCUAAAUAUUCCUGAAAAGUCACAACUUCCGCUGACCAUAACUUUCUCAUACGAAGUCUGUUUUAUGCGUGUCGCGUGUCUACGAACUUGUAUCGUCGUGCUCUACAACUUUCGUGAAGGAAGUUUCUCGAGAAACCCAACGAAUAAAAAGUCAACUCUAAGGCUGCUAAGGGGUCGCCUUCACUCGCUAUAGGUCUGCCUUGGCCCGCUUUGGGCUGCCUUAACUCGCCUUGGGCUGCCUUGACUCGGCUAAGGCCACAAAGGUGCCGCCUUCACCUAGCUAAGGCCGCAAGGUGUCGCAUUGACCCGCUAAGGGUCUGCCUUGACCUGCUUUGGGCUGUCUUGACCCUUCUUGGCCACCCCUUGCGCUGCCUUGACACGUCUAGGGCCACCUUGACCUGUUAUGGGCUGCCUUGACCUGUCUACGGCCGAUUUGGGCCGUCUUGACCCAUCUAGGGGCACCUUGACCCGCCUUAACCUGCCUUGGCCCGCCUGGACCCGCCUUGGGCUGCCUUGACCCGCCUAGACCCUCCUAGGGCCGCUAAGAGGCCGCCUUAGCCCAUCUAGGUCCACUAAGAGGCCGCCUUAACCCAUCUAGGGCGGCCAAGGGGCCGCGUUCACCUGUUUAAGACCGCCAAAGGGCCACCUUGGGCUGCCUUGACCCAUUUUAGGCCGCCUUGGGCUGUCUUUAUCUAGGGCCUCUAAGAGAUCGUCUUAACCCAUUUAGGUCCACUAAGAGGCCACCUUAACCCAUCUAUGGACGCCAAGGGCCGCGUUCACCCGUCGAAGGCCGCCAAGGGGGCCGCGUUUACCCAUUUUGACUUGCCAGGAGCUGCUUUGACCUUCCUAGACCCACCCAAGGCCGCCUUGCCCCUUCUAGGCCCUCCUAGGCCCGCCUAAACCACCAAGGGGCCGACUUGACCCUCCAAGGCCCUCCUAGGCCCGCUUACGGCCACUAAGGGGCCGCCUUUACCUGUUUUGGGCUACCUUGACCCGCCUUGACUCGUCUUGUGCCGCCUUAACCUGCCUUGGGCCCCCUUGACCCGUCUNNNNNNNNNNNNNNNNNNNNGCCUAGACCAUCCUUGGGCCGCUAAGAGGCCGCCUUAGCCCAUCUAGGUCCACUAAGAGGACGCCUUAACCCAUCUAGAGCGGCCAAGGGGCCGCGUUCACCCGUUUAAGCCUGCCAAGGGGCCACCUUGACCCGCCUUGGCCCACCUUGACCCCCUUAGGCCGCCUUGAUCCGCUUUGGGCCGCCUUGACCCGCCUUGGCCAACCUUGACCCGCCUUAGGCCUCCUUGACCCUCCUAGGGCCUCUUAAACCGCCUUAACUCUCCUAGGGUCUCCAAGAGGCCGCCUUAACCGAUCUAGGGCUACCAUGAGGCCGCCUUCACCCAUUUAGGACCACUAGGUUCCCGCCUUGACCCGUCUAAGGCUGCUAAGGGGGUCGCCUUCACUCGCUAUAGAUCUACCUUGGCCCGCUUUGGGCUGCCUUGACUCGGCUAAGGCCACAAAGGUGCCGCCUUCACCUAGCUAAGUCCGCAAGGUGUCGCCUUGACCCGAUAAGGGUCUGCCUUGACCGGCUUUGGGUUGCCUUGGUCACCCCUUACGCUACCUUGACAAGUCUAGGGCCACAUUGACCUGUUAUGGGUUGCCUUGACCCGUCUACGGCCGAUUUGGGCCGUCUUGACCCAUCUGGGGCACUUUGACCUGCCUGGACCCGCCUAGACCCUCCUAGGGCCGUUAAGAGGCCGCCUUAGCCCAUCUAGUUCUACUAAGAGGCCGCCUUAGCCCAUCUAGGUCUACUAAGAGGCCGCCUUAACCCAUCUAGGGCGGCCAAAGGGCCGCGUUCACCUGUUUAAGCCCGCCAAAAGGCCACCUUGGCCCAACUUGGGCUGCCUUGACCCAUCUUAGGCUGCCUUGGGUCGUCUUUAUCUAGGGCCGCUAAGAGAUCGCCUUAACCCAUCUAGGUCCACUAAGAGGCCACCUUAACCCAUCUAUGGACGUCAAGGGCCGCGUUCACCCGUCGAAGGCCGCCAAGGGCCGCGUUCACCCAUUUUGACUUGACAGGAGCUGCCUUGACCUUCCUAGGCCCGCCCAAGGCCGCCUUGCCCAUUCUAGGCCCUCCUAGGCCUGCCUAAACCACCAAGGGGCCGACUUGACCCUUCAAGGCCCUCCUAGGCCCGCCUACGGCAACUAAGGGGCCGCCUUUGCCUGCUUUGGGCUGCCUUGACCCGCCUUGGGCCGCCUUUACCAGUCUACGGCCGCCUUGGGCUGCCUUGACUCGUCUAGUGCAGCCUUAACCUGCCUUUACCCACCUUGGGCCGCCUAGACCCUCCAAGGGCCACUAAGAGGCCGCCUUAGCCCAUCUAGGUCCACUAAGAGGCCGCCUUAACACAUCUAGGGCGGCUAAGGGGCCGCGUUCACCCGUUUAAACCCACUAAGGGGCCACCUUAACCCGCCUUGGCCCACUUUGGGCCGCCAUGACCCGCCUUGACCCGUCUUGACCCGUCUUAGGCCGUCUUGACCCUCCUAAGGCCUCUUGAACCGCCUUAACUCUCCUAGGGCCGUCAGGAGGCCGCCUUAACCGAUCUAGGGCUACCAUGAGGCCGCCUUCACCCAUGUAGAACCACUAGGUGCCCGCCUUGACCCGUCUAAGGCUGCUAAGGGGUCGCCUUCACUUGCUGUAGGUCUGCCCUUGCCCGCUUUGGGCUGUCUUGACUCGGCUAAGGCCACAAAGGUGCCGCCUUCACCUGGCUAAGGCCGCAAGGUGCCUCCUUGACCCGCUAAGGGUCUGCCUUGACCCGCUUUGGGCUGCCUUGACCCUCCUUGGCCACCCCUUACGCUGCCUUGACACAUCUAGGGCCACCUUGACCUGUUAUGGGCUGCCUUGACCCGUCUACGGCCGAUUUGGGCCGUCUUGACCCAUCUAGGGGCGCCUUGACCCGUCUUAACCUGCCUUGGCCCGCCUGGACCCGCCAUGGGCUGCCUUGACCCGCCUAGACCCUCCUAGGGCCGCUAAGAGGCCAUCUUAGCCCAUCUAGGUCCACUAAGAGGCCGCCUUAACCCAUCUAGGGCGGCCAAGGGGUCGCAUUCACCUGUUUAAGCCUGCCAAAGGGCCACCUUGGCCCGACUUGGGCUGCCUUGACCCAUCUUAGGCCGCCUUGGGCCGCCUUUAUCUAGGGCCGCUAAGAGAUCGCCUUAACCUAUCUAGGUCCACUAAGAGGCCACCUUAACCCAUCUAUAGACGCCAAGGGCCGCGUUCACCCAUUUUGACUUGCCAGGAGCUGCCUUGACCUUCCUAGACCCGCCCAAGGCCGCCUUGCCCCUCCUAGGCUCUCCUAGGACUGCCUAAACCACCAAGAGGCCUACUUGACCCUCCAAGGCCCUCCUAGGCCCGCCUACGGCCACUAAGGGGCCGCCUUUGCUUGCUUUGGGCUGCCUUGACCCACCUUGGGCCACCUUUACCCGUCUACGGCCACCUUGGGCUGCCUUGACUCGUCUAGUGCAGCCUUAACCUGCCUUUACCCACCUUGGGCUGCCUAGACCCUCCAAGGGCCACUAAGAGGCCGCCUUAGCCCAUCUAGGUCCACUAAGAGGCCGCCUUAACCCGCCUUGGCCCACCUUGGGCUGCCUUGACCCGCCAUGGGCCGCCUUGACCCAUCUUGACCCGCCUUAGGCCGCCUUGACCCUCCUAAGGCCUCUUGAACCGCCUUAACUCUCCUAGGGCCGCCAAGAGGCCGCCUUAACCGAUCUAGGGCUACCAUGAGGCCGCCUUCACCCAUUUAGGACCACUAGGUGCCCGCCUUGACCCGUCUAAGGCUGCUAAGGGGGUCGCCUUCACUCGCUAUAGGUCUGCCUUGGCCCGCUUUGGGCUGCAUUGACCCUCCUUGGCCCCUCUUGCGCAGCCUUGACACGUCUAGGGCCACCUUGACCCGUCUACGGCCACUUUGGGCCGUCUUGACCCGUCUAGGGGCGCCUUAACCCGCCUUUACCUGCUUUGGCCCGCCUUUACCCGCUUUGGGCUUGCUUGACCCGCCUAGACCCUCAUAGGGCUGCUAAGAGGCUGCCUUAGCCCAUCUUGAGCUGCUUUGACCCGCAUUGGGUCUCCUUGACCCGCCUUUACCCUCCUAGGGCCACUAAGAGGCCGCCUUAACCCUUCUAGGGCGGCCAAGGGCCCACGUUCACCCGUUUAAGGCCGCCAAGGGGACACCUUGACCCUCAUAGGCCGCCUUGACCCGUCUAGGGUCGUAUUGACCGCCUAGGGCCUCUUGGGCCGCCUUGACCCUCCUAGGCCCUCCUAGACCUGCCUAGGACCACCUUGACCCGCCUUGGCCUGCUUUGGGCUGACUUAACCCACCAUGGGCUUCCUUGACCCGGCUACGACCGCUUUGGGCCGCCUUUAGUCGCCCUGACCCUCAUAGACCCUCCUUGGGCCGCUAAGAGGCCGCCUUAGCCCAUCCAGGUCCACUACGAGGCCGCCUUAACCCAUCUAGGGAGGCCAAGAGGCCGCGUUCACCCAUUUAAGCCCGCCAAGGGGUCACCUUGAUCCGCCUUGGCCUGGCUUGGGCUGCCUUAACCCGCCUUAACCUGCUUUGGGCUGCCUUUGGCCGACUUGACCCGCUUUGGGCCGCCNNNNNN